rnacentral:lncRNA from 10 species
UCAAAAUUAUCAUUUUACUGUUUUUACCAGUUGUUGACUCCAGCAGCUUCUGCUUCAGGUAUUUUUUUAAACCAGCGUGAAUAGACUAUGACCACAACUCAAGGAAAUCUUACUGCUGCUCACUUUUUGGGUCCACACUGCGUUUAUUAGCUGCAACGCUCACCGCUAUGGUCUGCAGCUUCACUCCUGAAGCCAGCGAGACCACGAACCCACCAGAAUGAAGAAACUCCGAACACAUCCAAACAUCAGAAGGAACAAACUCCGGACAGGCGGCCUUUAAGAACUGUAACACUCACCUCGAGGGUCUGCGGCUUCAUUCUUGAAGUCAGUGAGACCAAGAACCCACCAAUUCCGGACACAAUGUUACUCCAGAUAAUCAGCGCCAUUUUCUGAAGCUUGAGAUGCAGGAAAAGAGGAGUGCUAUCCAUUAGAUGGAGACAGGAAGUAGAAAAAGGGCUUAAAGUUUUGGCUUGUGUUACUUCCUUGGGGAGAUCUUGCUGGACCACAUCAGGAAUAGGAGGGGUGUGUCCCCACAGCACUGUGUACACGGUUGUCCUGGAAUGCCCCACCA